AUCGCCUGGGGGCCGGACCGGACGUACUGCAGCUGCGGCUGCGGCUAGCUAAUCUAGCCUAGCCUAGCUAGCACCAAGUUGCUGCUCGAUCAUGUCUAGUUGGGCUGCCCCCGCCUGCCUGCCUGCCCGGUUGCUGGUGCAAGAUACCGAGGAGGCGGACGGGAAGGGGACGGUGAGGUGACAUAGACAUACACCCCCCCGGCCCCCGCCGUCGGCGACCUGCCUCCUGUCCAGCCUAUAAGUAGGCGGCCAUGCGCUAGCUGCGACAGACAAGAGAGAGAGAGAGACACCCACACCCACACCCACACAAGAAGGGAAGCGACUGAGCAUCCAAGGUAAGGUCGUUGUUGGUUGCAAUGGCCGGCUGCGGAGGCAAGGAUGGCCUGUACGCCGUGCUCGGCGUCUCCAGCGACUGCUCCGACGCAGAGCUGCGCAGCGCCUACAGGAAGCUCUCCAUGAAAUGGCACCCGGACAAAUGCGGCUCCGGCGGCGUGGAGGCUCCGGCUAGCUGCGACAGACAAAUGAGGGUGCAGGAGACAUACUGGGAGACAUCCUGGAGGCCAUGAACCACACACCCCCACACCAGGAAGACGGCGACGGCGAGAGCUCGGACGAUCUGCACAAGCAGUUCGAGGAGCUCUUCCUCAAGCCCGACGCAGCCUACUCCUCCUCCUCCUCCUCCUCCUCCAAGACAAGGGCCGCCGGCAGGAAGUAGGCUCCCAAGAUGAAUGAAUCAUCUUCAUGCGUGGUCGUGGAGAUUUCAUCCGUCAGAAUAGAUCAUGUCAUGCUAGGCUAUUGCUAGCUAUCCACGGAGAAUGACCCAAAUUAAUGUUGAAUGUUCAGCUAGAGUAGCAUAAUACGUAUAGCCUAGUAGUCACUAAAUGAAAAAUUUAUUUAGGCGUCAUGCAUCCACACCUGCCUAGACUAUGAUUUUCCACCUAGCUUGUGAUUGUGAUUUCUAAUACGACUAUGCGUGAAUUCAAUAACAUUUGUGACAUCUUUCCAAAAGAAUAAGUACUACGUACUCUAUAAGCAAUUCUAUCCACAUUCCGCCCUGCUCAUACGUAAUAUACUUUUGAUAGCUCAGUCGACUUGCCAAAAUUGGGUACGGAUACCGGGUUCAGGUAGCCUUUCUUUUACAGAAACUAUUAGUAUUUCUAG